UACGUAGGUGGCAAGCGUUGUCCGGAUUUACUGGGCGUAAAGAGCGCGCAGGCGGUCGUUCAAGUCGCGUGUGAAAGCCCCCGGCUCAACUGGGGAGGGUCACGCGAUACUGAUCGACUCGAAGGCAGGAGAGGGAAGUGGAAUUCCGGGUGUAGUGGUGAAAUGCGUAGAUAUCCGGAGGAACACCAGUGGCGAAGGCGGCCGCCUGGACCUGACCUGACGCUGAGGCGCGAAGGCGUGGGGAGCGAACGAG
rnacentral:rRNA from 1 species